UUUUCCUGUUUGGAAACGAUAACAUUACUCGCUCAGGAGUUAACCCCCGUCACUCUACUCAGCCACCAGGAAACACGACA